rnacentral:lncRNA from 1 species
UUGGUCAUAGAGCUUCCCCUCUCUUGGAAGUCAUAUCUUUGGGCUUGGUGCGAUUGGGCAAAGCUCUCUCCUUGAUGUGAUUUCUUCGGGCUUAGUGGUCAGCCCAAUCUGAGUUCGGUAAAGAGCGUCCGAAUCUUAUCCUCCAUUCGCGCCUCGAAGGCUUUGAAUUUAGCAUUGAUUACCUCCUCAGAUGCCAUAGUAUAUGCUGCCAAAUCUGUGAUGUUAAGAUCUCUCUUUUGUUGUCAGGUUAAAGGCAUGUAUUGGUUGAGAGAGGUGAUGGUCGAAAGGGUUG